UCCAACCCAUGUGACUUACCACUGUUGCCUCGGCAGAUGUUGCUGGGCGAACCUACCUUGUAGCGAGCUACUCUGUAGCGACCUACCCGGGAACGGCUUACCCUGUAGCGCCUGCCGGUGGACUACUAAACUCUUGUUAUUUUUAAGUAAUCUGAGCGUCUUAUUUUAAUAAGUCAAAACUUUCAACAACGGAUCUCUUGGUUCUGGCAUCGAUGAAGAACGCAGCGAAAUGCGAUAAGUAAUGUGAAUUGCAGAAUUCAGUGAAUCAUCGAAUCUUUGAACGCACAUUGCGCCCAUUGGUAUUCCUUUGGGCAUGCCUGUUCGAGCGUCAUUUAAACCUUCAAGCUCAGCUUGGUGUUGGGUGACUGUCCACUGCCCCUCGGGGCGGCGGACUCGCCUCAAAAUUAUUGGCGGCCGGUACAUUGGCUUCGAGCGCAGCAGAAACGCGAACUCGGGGCUGUUGUGCUGGCUCCCAGAAGCCAUCUUCACAAUUUUGACCUCGGAUCAGGUAGGGAUACCCGCUGAACUUAAGCAUAUC
rnacentral:rRNA from 1 species